rnacentral:rRNA from 1 species
UUAAAUUGAAGAGUUUGAUCAUGGCUCAGAUUGAACGCUGGCGGCAGGCCUAACACAUGCAAGUCGAGCGGAAACGAGUUAUCUGAACCUUCGGGGAACGAUAACGGCGUCGAGCGGCGGACGGGUGAGUAAUGCCUAGGAAAUUGCCCUGAUGUGGGGGAUAACCAUUGGAAACGAUGG